UACCGGAUAGAUCUCGACUGCUGGAAUGCAUCGAGAUCUAAAGCUCCGGCGCCUAAGGAUGGGUCUGCGGCCUAUCAGGUAGUAGUGGGUGUAGCGUACCUACUAGCCUACGACGGGUACGGGUUGUGAGAGCAAGAGCCCGGAGAUGGAUUCUGAGACACGAAUCCAGGCCCUACGGGGUGCAGCAGGCGCGAAAACUUUACAAUGCUGGAAACAGCGAUAAGGGGACCUCGAGUGCCAGGUUACAAAUCUGGCUGUCGUGAUGCCUAAAAAGCAUUGCAUAGCAAGGGCCGGGCAAGACCGGUGCCAGCCGCCGCGGUAACACCGGCGGCUCGAGUGGUAACCGUUAUUAUUGGGUCUAAAGGGUCUGUAGCCGGCCGGAUAAGUCUCUUGGGAAAUCCAGCAGCUCAACUGUUGGGCUUUCAGGAGAUACUGUCUGGCUCGAGGCCGGGAGAGGUGAGAGGUACUUCAGGGGUAGGGGUGAAAUCUUGUAAUCCUUGAAGGACCACCAGUGGCGAAGGCGUCUCACCAGAACGGACCUGACGGCAAGGGACGAAAGCUAGGGGCACGAACCGGAUUAGAUACCCGGGUAGUCCUAGCCGUAAACGAUACUCGCUAGGUGUCGGCCACGGUGCGACCGUUGUCGGUGCCGUAGGGAAGCCGUGAAGCGAGCCACCUGGGAAGUACGGCCGCAAGGCUG
rnacentral:rRNA from 1 species